rnacentral:rRNA from 1 species
GACGAACGCUGGCGGCGUGCUUAACACAUGCAAGUCGAGCGGUAAGGCCCUUUCGGGGGUACACGAGCGGCGAACGGGUGAGUAACACGUGGGUGACCUGCCCUUAGCUCUGGGAUAAGCCUGGGAAACUGGGUCUAAUACCGGAUAUGACUCCAUGACGCAUGUUGUGGGGUGGAAAGCCUUGUGCGGCUAGGGAUGGGCCCGCGGCCUAUCAGCUUGUUGGUGGGGUGAGGCCUACCAAGG